AAUCAACGCUGGCGGCGUGCCUCAGACAUGCAAGUCGAACGCGAAAGUCCCCUUCGGGGGAUGAUUAGAGUGGCGCACGGGUGAGUAACACGUAGGUAAUCUACCUUCGGAGUGGGGAAUAACUCAGGGAAACUUGAGCUAAUACCGCAUAAUGCAGCGGCACCACAUGGUGACAGUUGUUAAAGCAUUUAUGCGCUUGGAAGAGGAGCCUGCGGCGGAUAGCUAGUUGGUAAGGUAAUGGCUUACCAAGGCUACGAUCUGUAACCGGCCUGAGAGGGCGGACGGUCACACUGACACUGAAUAACGGGUCAGACUCCUACGGGAGGCA
rnacentral:rRNA from 1 species